rnacentral:lncRNA from 1 species
UUUAUCAAAAAAUUUCUAAUUAUAAAUACAUAUCACUAAAAAGAAAAAACAAAAACAAAAAAAAAAGCUCUCUCUCUUCUCUCUCCCUUCUCUCUAGAAAACCCUAAUUUGUGGCUGCCGUUUGCCUCUCCGGCUUGCCCUUCCGGCGCCGGGGAGGGUUUCUCGUUUCCCUUUAGUUGCUGAGCAGCCUCUCUUCGGCGUUUCUCUUCCCAGCUGUUGCAGCAGUCCUCCUUCCGUUUCUGGGACUAGGUAGGUGGUUUCGGAGUAGAUCUGGCGCGUGGAGAAAGCGAGAUGUUUGUGGUGGUCGUUGGAGUCUCCCAUGGUUUGCGAGAUUGGGGAUAUCUCCGUUCUGUGUUCUCUCUCCGGCGGAUCUGGGUUGAAUGUCUUGUUUUGCGUCGUUUCUCUCCGAGGGUUGUUGGGUUUGCAGAGUGUCGGGGAUCUAAGCUCUCGUCCUUAGGAUGAGUCUUAGGGAUCGGUUUCUGGUGUUUCUUCUGCUGGAUUCGCGGAUCUCCCUUUCUCCAGUCGGUAAGCUUGCUUGCUUCAAUGGGGUGUGGUUUCGUCAGGUGAGUUGGUUAUGGGAUGUGCUUAAUUGUGGGUCUUGGUGCAAUUGGAGGGUUGAGCUGAGUAAGGACUCUCUCUCCAGCAGCGGUGGUGUGGAUUUUCCUUCAUGUGAUGCUUGGCGGUGUGGGUUCAUUUGGAUGGUUGAGGAGACCUUGUGCUAAGCGAUCUCUGUUUUGAAGACGGCAGAUGAUUCCCUGUGGUGUCCCUUCGCUGCUCAUGCAUCCAAAUGGCCGCUAUGGUUUGCAGCGAAAGUCGGUGGAGGGAAUGGAGAGUUCGCUGUCGUCCAGGAGGUUAACUGUAGAUCCCUCGGGAUCUUAGAAGGCGGAUCCGGGUCACGGUUUCAUGAAUGUGGCUUGAGCAAUUACAAUCAAUGAGACCGCCGUGUAUUCUGUUUCCUCCGGACCGGAUGGAUUGAUUCCUUACUUGGAGUUAACGAAGUUCACCGGAUCUAGAAGUGGGGGUUAGCUCUGAGUGUGUUUUUGGUUGCUAGGCACGGGACCAGCACCGUAGAGCCUGCUGUCGGCGGUUAGAACAGACCGGGAGAUUUGUUCCGGGCCAGGUGAGUCGAUGUUUUGGAACCAGAGUCGGAGUCCGGUUGCUUCUGGUAACAGUUCCACUUCAAAGUCUCUGCCGCAAAGGAAUGAGUCUCGCAUCCGCCGGAAUUACUGUUCCGACCGCUGCUUCAGGUCUUUCAGCAGGAGAAGAUCUCAUUUUGGGAUUUGGGCUGUAAUUUUGUUUUCUCCCCUUUAGCCCAAUAAUUGUAUGUUCAAGGCCUUGCCCAUUUAAAAAAAAAAAAUAUACAUAUCACUAUUCAAAUAUCUUUUGUCUAUCUCUUAUAAUCAUCAUUUUUUACAAAAACUUGGUCUUAGGUAACAUUUUACAUUUAUUUUAAAAGUAGUUUGUCAUUUUUAAUGUAUAUCUAAUCAUAAAAGAUUGCAUAAUUUAU